CUCUGUCACCUGUGUCGUCUACAAAUUCUUCGAACCCGCUGUCGUCAAGAAUUAAUAGCCUCCAUCUGCUCUCAUCGUCAAUCUCGUCCACGCUGUAAAACCAAACACACUGGGUUUUGCAUGCGUCAAUGGAGUCUAAAGAACGACAGAGGUCCCAGAAAAAAGAGAGCUCAUCGGAAAGUCUGAAAACUGCUGUGAAUUCCAUCUCUGCAUCCAAUUAAGGCGCAGGUCAACGAAGGAGCUCGCGAUGGAAUUUCCACCCAGGAUUAUGUGCUCAUCCGACCUAUCUAUGCUAUAAAUUAUCUAUAGUCCUCUUAAGUCAUAUUAUGUUGCCAAGAGAUGGGUUACUUCGGCCACUUCUAAGAAACUGUAACAAAAACUGCACCUCCACGACAAAGAAUAAUUUAUUUACGUAGGCCUUAACACAGUAAACUUCAAGCUAUUUUCCAACGGUAUCUGCAUCAUUAUUUUAAAUGAUUAUGGUCAAUUUAUCUUCAUGUGAUGAUGUGGACGUUUUGUAGCAGAAUUUAAGUUAGGCUACCCUAUUUUGUUUCCAAAAUAAUGUAGUUAGGCCUAUCUGUAGUUGUGGCUUAUAUCUCUAUUUCGUGGUAAAACAGGAAUGACAAAGCCAUAAUCGUAUGGAUUAUAGGUCACUUUAUUUUAAGUAAAUGCGUAUUAUUCUUUUAUGACCGAAUAACUUGAAGGUUGAAACUUCACGGGCUAAAGAAUAGUCCUACCGCCUCUUCUAAAAAGGGGUCUAGCCUAGAGACGUCCAACAUUACAUUUGUUUAUGAGAGCCAAAUGAUGUAGGUAACGAACAUUUUACAAGGAACACAAUAACAAUAUCAUAGAUCUGGAAUAAAAAAUAAUGGAAAUUACUAUAAGGCAUAAUAAAUAACCUAACCUGAAUUAAAACAUACAGAUUUGCUAGCUGUAAUCACACACACACACACACACACACACACACACACACACACACACACACACACACACACACACACACACACACACACACACACACACACACACACACACACAC